rnacentral:rRNA from 1 species
UACAGAGGUCUCAAGCGUUGUUCGGAUUCAUUGGGCGUAAAGGGUGCGUAGGUGGUGAUGCAAGUCUGGUGUGAAAUCUCGGAGCUCAACUCCGAAAUUGCACCGGAUACUGCGUGACUCGAGGACUGUAGAGGAGAUCGGAAUUCACGGUGUAGCAGUGAAAUGCGUAGAUAUCGAGAGGAACACCGGUGGCGAAGGCGGCCUGCUGGGCAGUGGCUGACACUGAGGCGCGACAGCGUGGGGAGCAAACAGG